AGCAGCGUGGCUCAGUGGAAAUUGCAUGGGCUUGGGAACCAGAGGUUGCGGGUUCCAAUCCCGUCUCUGCCA
rnacentral:tRNA from 1 species